UGCCCGUUCGUCUAAUGGUAGGACGCUGGACUUUGACUCCAGAGAUCGACGUUCGAGUCGUCGCCGGGCAU
rnacentral:tRNA from 1 species